rnacentral:lncRNA from 1 species
UGAAACUGUAUCAUUUUAAUAUUUUAAUAAUCAAAAUAUGAUUCUCUUCCCAACUCAACCGUCUGUACCCAGAUAACAAUCCCCUUUUCCCUUUCACUUUCUACAUAUCUAAAAGAGAAGGUAAAGAGGGAAAUUCUGAAUGGAAAACUUUAGAGGCCACUGGCUGGGUAAGUAGGGCAGAGACCAAGUGAGGGCUGAGAAGAAAGGGAGCAGAGAGUGGACAGCAGGAGAGGGUAGAUGAAGUCAUUGGACAGAGAAUCUGAGCUGCAAAUGGAAGGCAAGGAGGAGAAUCUCAGAAGCUUCCUCCUUGGUCUUCACCAGGUUGGGAAUGGGUUGCCGAAGGGGAGAGGGCAUAUUUUUAGCAUGCAAGUUCCCCAACCCUGCAGUCAAGUUCAGGGAGAGGGCUGGAGAGCUCAGUUCCAUGGCUUGCAGAGGGAAGCUGCAGGGAGUUGCUACUGAGCCCAACUGAGAUUUAGCACAUUGAUUUUUGCCUUUAUUUUUUUCUAGGUGCUGCGGUUUGUGAUUGAGUGGGGAGGUUGGGGAGGACAGCCAAGGCUUUUAAAGGUGCCAAUACUCUAGCAAGAAAUAAGGAAGAGUGGCUGCUAAAAGAGCUGAGAUUUUCCAUUCUACCCUCCUGUGCCUCAUUUUUCUUUUCCUCUUUCCACUUUCUUGGCUGAGCCUGCUUGUCAGUGAGAUGAUCAACAGCUGUGGGAAGCACAGAGUAGUAGGAAGAGGGCUCCGAGCAGGAGUCGGGACAUUUGUCCUGAGUGGGGCUGAUGGCAUAAACCUGACCUUGGCCGCCCAGCUCCUUGGCCCAGGUCCACCUUCCUUCAUUCACUGUUUCACUCUCGUAUCCACCGAAUACCUAUGCAGCGUCUACUAUGGAGUGUCUACUGAAGUCAAGCACUAGGCAUCCCAUUGUGACAAAAUAGACAUGGUCCUGACCUCAAGGGGCUUACACUCUGGGAAGAUAGGUAACAUUGAAUAAAUGGCAAGAAACCAAUAUGUGAUUACAGAUCAUUGAUAAGUGCUGCAAAGGAAAACAAGAGGACUCUAUGAAGGAGAAUUACCAGGUAGAGGCUGCCUACUUUAGAUAGUGGUCAGGGAUGGUUUCUCUGAGAAGAGACAUUUAAGCUAGAACCUGAAGGAUGACAUAAAGCAGAGUCCAAUGUGAGUCAGGCAUCUCUCCUGGUGGCUGUCUUCCAUGUGGUGACUUAUGUAUCCAGGAUCCUUCUACUGUGUUUCUCCUCCAUUGCGAAGUCCUUCACUUCCAGCACCUGAGACAUUUUUUGGGUAUAUCUACAAGUGGCAUAUAUCACUUCUGCCCACAUUCACCUGGGUAGAACUCAAUCACAUUGUUUCACCUAACUGCAAGUGAGGCUGUGGAAUAUAGUCUCCCUAUGUGCCCAAGCAGAAGAAACAGGAUUGUGUGACUCUACAAUGUGUGAUUGCUCCUGGUGAAUCAAAAGGAUAAAGCUGCUGAUUCUGCAAUUUGAUAACCCAACCAUGCUGACCUCAAAGUGUAGUCAAUCCAUGAAGUUCCUCCCACCACAGCUCAUCCUGAACACUGCCCACCUGAGUCAUCAAGAAAGAUUUCACCUGAUUCUUGGCCACAAAGUUUCAAGGGAACCAGAGCUAAUGAAGACAGCAUGGAAGGGCACCGCCGAGACCUACCUGUGGGAGUCCACCUCACCCUCAAGAACAGCUACCAUUUUAACACAGAUGGAUAAACCCCAUGAAAGUGAACUUCCUAAAUGCAAAUUCUGAUCUUGAAGCCCCAGCUGGCACAUCUACUGGAGACCCUCCCAAGCAACAAGAUGUAGAUGCUUUAGAGAUAACAAACUAUACAAGUUGUCUUCCAUUCUUUCUCCUUCCUCUAUUUUCAACACGGAUAAAAUACAUAUAUAUUUAUCUUGCUGAGCUCAGUAGGAUUAUUUAGCUUUAUUUCCAUGGCUGCCUUUUCUUAAUGUAAUAGAAUUUCCAAUCGAGCUUAUUACUUCCUUCCGUCACAAGCCUGAGGUCCUUUCACACCCAUCCUGUCCUUGGCAAAGAUCUUUGGAAAGUAGCCUGGGACAUACCUAGUGGUAAGCCACCUGCUCUGGGUUGAGGGUGGAUCUAUUCUAGUCAGAGGCUUUGUGAUCUGGACAAAGGAAUUGAGUAUGUGGCUGUCAAACUGUCAGGCAAUACUAAAUUUGGCUGGCCAGCUGAAUUCUAGCAGAAAAUCAUGCAAAAUAAGGUUUAGCAAUUGGGGAAAAAUGGCCCACAGGAAAAACAAAGGGAUGAAAUUCCGUAGGACUACACGGCCAUAGAAUUCUAACUUGAGGGCUGCAACCAGCUAUGUGACCUUGUAGUACAAGGACCAGUCUUCAGAUACAAAAUAGAGUUUGGAGUUAAAGGGAUCUUUGAGAAGAAGCCAUUAUCCACCCCCUCCUCCCAAUUUUAUAUGCCCUAAGAAAAAGGUUUCUUUCAACUUAGAAAGGUAUGAUUCUUGAAGUGCACUUCCUCCGAGUUUUCCUGAGCCUCUCAAUCAAAAUGACUUGCACCUGCCCAUCCAUUCCCAUUGGCUUAUGCUCCUACCCUGCAGUAUUGGCUUCAUUAUGCCUCACCUUGUACACCUGUCUGAUUCCUCUCCUAGAUUAUCAGCACCUUGACAAUGGGCUCGUAUCUUGUGUAUCCCUGAAUUUCCAGGGACAAUGAUAGUGCCUGCCACAUAAUUGAUGGUCAAUAAAUUUUGGUUAAAUAGUAACAAGAAACUCCCAUUUAAAAAAUGUGUUAUCGUUAUCAUUCUCAAUCUGGAUGCUCUCCUCUAUACACAGUUUUAUUCAGUAACUCUCUUAAAAUUGUAAAGGUGAGAAAUUGAACACAGUUUCCCAGGUCUUUGAGCAGCACGAGAUACAGGGAGAAAAAAAAUGCUUUGUGCUUGAAUACUUUACUUCUGAUUGGAGAAAAUAAACACUGCACUGGAUUAUUUUUAAAGAUACAUCACAUUACGUUUGUGAUCAACUGAAAUGCUAAGAUAUUUGCAUGUGGAUUUCUGCCAAGCUGCUUUUCUCCCAUUCUUCAUGUGUGUGAUUGAUCUUGAAAUCAAAUGGUGGGACUUUAUAUAUUUUUUUGUUUUAACUCAAGGUAAAGUCUGACAAAAAUCACGUUAAAUUUGAUGCUGUCAGUGAAGACAUUAGCAAUCCUUCCUGGCUUAAGGUCACUGGCAAAUUUGAUAUACUUAUCUUUUGUGGGGUUUUUUUGUUGGUUUUUUUAAGACAGGG